rnacentral:lncRNA from 1 species
AAGGUUUCAUUUCCCUAAAAGAAAAUGCUCAGUUCAUUGCAAACAUAGCAUCAAAAUGAAGAACACGAGAAAUUAUAAACUAAACGUAAAGAAAAAGCUUAUGAAAAAACCGAGUCGAAACCCUCGUCAAAGCUUCCCGCGAAGAACUAGCGAGAACCGAAGAGAAAACCGAAGAAGUCGAAGAAUGAAGUGUUCCACGUCUAAUUGGAGAGGAAGCUUGUUCUAUUUAUAGGGGGCUUGCAUAACACAAAUAUCUUGUCUUGAAAAUUGUGCACCACAUUUCCAGAUCACGAUAUGGGAAUGUUGGAUCGCGAUCUGGUUCUUAAUAAAAAAUGUACUGUGAGACCCCCAGAUCGCGAUAUAGGAAGGUUGGAUCGCGAUCUGGGUCCUGAUCAAAAAAUGUACUGUGAGACCCCCAUAUCGCGAUACAGGGAGGCUAGAUCGCGAUCUGGGCUUCGGCGCCAACUUCAAACAUUGUUUUGACCCUUUUUUAGCCCGAAUUUGACAAUUUUGCAUUUCUCAAAAGUUGUAGAUCUUGAAGUUAGCUUUCUGAGAGACUGUCUAAGAGAGAUCACUUUUUCUCUAUCUUUCAGUCAUAUUGUUCGGCAAAAAAUAUCAUGUUUCGGAUCGUCUAGCAAAUUGGAUAAUCACAAAUCU